AUCUGCCGAGGUAAUGGAGUGCACCGGACGGACCAUACGAGAGACUAGAUGUGAGUUGCUCUGCACUGUAUAUGGUUCUACUCUUAAGUAAGUGGUCCCAGUGGUAACUUGAAGACCUAAGGUGUCCCACAGUUGUUAUGUUGAUCCGAAGUACUCACGGUAACUGGUAUGAUUGGAGAUGAGGAGGCUUUGGUACAGUGAUCUUCCAUGCAGUUGCUACAUACCGAGGGGGGGUAGGAAAGAAGAUGCCAAUAAAAGCUGAUGUUUUAUGUGGAUGAAGAAGAUGAUGACAUGAUUUAGGGUGCUAUGUCUGACAAGAAUAAAAAGGCAGGGCCGGCCAAACUGUAUGGAUUGACAUGUAGUGCAAUUGGUGCAGCCACAUGAAAUGGUACACAG
rnacentral:lncRNA from 1 species